GACGAACGCUGGCGGCGUGCUUAACACAUGCAAGUCGAACGGUAAGGCCCUUCGGGGUACACGAGUGGCGAACGGGUGAGUAACACGUGGGUGAUCUGCCCUGCACUUCGGGAUAAGCCUGGGAAACUGGGUCUAAUACCGGAUAGGACCACUGCCUGCAUGGGUGGUGGUGGAAAGCUUUUGCGGUGUGGGAUGGGCCCGCGGCCUAUCAGCUUGUUGGUGGGGUGAUGGCCUGCCAAGGGGACGACGGGUAGCCGGCCUGAGAGGGUGACCGGCCACACUGGGACUGAGAUACGGCCCAGACUCCUACGGGAGGCAGCGGUGGGGAAUAUUGCACAAUGGGCGCAAGCCUGAUGCAGCGACGCCGCGUGAGGGAUGACGGCCUUCGGGUUGUAAACCUCUUUCAGCACCGACGAGGCGCAAGUGACGGUAGGUGCAGAAGAAGGACCGGCCAACUACGUGCCAGCCGCCGCUGUAA
rnacentral:rRNA from 1 species